rnacentral:rRNA from 1 species
CCUACGGGAGGCAGCAGUGGGGAAUAUUGCACAAUGGGCGAAAGCCUGAUGCAGCAACGCCGCGUGAAGGAAGAAGGCCUUCGGGUCGUAAACUUCUGUCCUUGGGGAAGAAGAGCUGACGGUACCCAAGGAGGAAGCCCCGGCUAACUACGUGCCAGCAGCCGCGGUAAUACGGAGGAUGCGAGCGUUAUCCGGAUUUAUUGGGUUUAAAGGGUGCGCAGACGGCCGGUUAAGUCAGCGGUAAAAGCCCGGGGCUCAACCCCGGCGAGCCGUUGAAACUGGCGGGCUGGAGUUGGAGAGAAGUACGCGGAAUGCGCGGUGUAGCGGUGAAAUGCUUAGAUAUCGCGCAGAACCCCGAUUGCGAAGGCAGCGUACCGGCUCCACACUGACGCUGAGGCACGAAAGCGUGGGUAUCGAACAGGAUUAGAUACCCUGGUAGUC